GCUUGCAUCAUGAUUUACAUUUGAGUGAGUGGCGAACUGGUGAGUAACACGUGGGAAACCUGCCCAGAAGCGGGGGAUAACACCUGGAAACAGAUGCUAAUACCGCAUAACAACUUGGACCGCAUGGUCCGAGUUUGAAAGAUGGCUUCGGCUAUCACUUUUGGAUGGUCCCGCGGCGUAUUAGCUAGAUGGUGGGGUAACGGCUCACCAUGGCAAUGAUACGUAGCCGACCUGAGAGGGUAAUCGGCCACAUUGGGACUGAGACACGGCCCAAACUCCUACGGGAGGCAGCAGUAGGGAAUCUUCCACAAUGGACGAAAGUCUGAUGGAGCAACGCCGCGUGAGUGAAGAAGGGUUUCGGCUCGUAAAACUCUGUUGUUAAAGAAGAACAUAUCUGAGAGUAACUGUUCAGGUAUUGACGGUAUUUAACCAGAAAGCCACGGCUAACUACGUGCCAGCAGCCGCGGUAAUACGUAGGUGGCAAGCGUUGUCCGGAUUUAUUGGGCGUAAAGCGAGCGCAGGCGGUUUUUUAAGUCUGAUGUGAAAGCCUUCGGCUCAACCGAAGAAGUGCAUCGGAAACUGGGAAACUUGAGUGCAGAAGAGGACAGUGGAACUCCAUGUGUAGCGGUGAAAUGCGUAGAUAUAUGGAAGAACACCAGUGGCGAAAGCGGCUGUCUGGUCUGUAACUGACGCUGAGGCUCGAAAGUAUGGGUAGCAAACAGGAUUAGAUACCCUGGGUAGUCCAUACCGUAACGAUGAAUGCUAAGUGUUGGAGGGUUUCGCCCUCAGUGCUGCAGCUAACGCAUAGCAUC
rnacentral:rRNA from 2 species